rnacentral:tRNA from 1 species
GCUUUGGUGGUUCAGUGGUAGAAUUCUCACCUUCAGUGCAGGAGACCCGGGUUCAAUUCCAGGCCAAUGCC